rnacentral:pre_miRNA from 1 species
UUUCUACUCCCUCCGUUCCGAAUUACUUGUCUUAGAUUUAUUUAGAUACAGAUGUAUCUAACACUAAAAUGAGUCUAGAUACAUCUGUAUCUAGACAAAUUCAAGACAAGUAAUUUGGAACGGAGGGAGUAGUAA